UCGGCCCGCUGGCCCGGUAUCGGGCCCCCGCCGCUCGCAGCGGUCAUCGACUGCGUUCGGUGGCGCAGCUGGCUGGA
rnacentral:tRNA from 1 species